rnacentral:rRNA from 1 species
GACAGAGGGUGCAAACGUUGUUCGGAAUUACUGGGCGUAAAGGCGAAGUGUAGGCGGUUCGGUAAGUCGGAUGUGAAAGCCCCGGGCUCAACCCGGGAAGUGCACUCGAUACUGCCGAGCUAGAGUAUCGGAGAGGUUGGUGGAAUUCUCGGUGUAGAGGUGAAAUUCGUAGAUAUCGAGAGGAACACCGGUGGCGAAGGCGGCCAACUGGACGAAUACUGACGCUGAGACUCGAAAGCGUGGGGAGCAAACAGG